GCGCCUGUGGCUCAACUUGGAUAGAGCGGCUGGCUACGGACCAGCAGGUUGGGGGUUCGAGUCCCUCCAGGCGCG
rnacentral:tRNA from 2 species